AUGCACGCUGGCGGCGUGCCUAAUCCAUGCCAGUCGAGCGAACGGACGAGAAGCUUGCUUCUCUGAUGUUAGCGGCGGACGGGUGAGUAACACGUGGAUAACCUACCUAUAAGACUGGGAUAACUUCGGGAAACCGGAGCUAAUACCGGAUAAUAUUUUGAACCGCCUGGUUCAAAAGUGAAAGACGGUCUUGCUGUCACUUAUAGAUGGAUCCGCGCUGCAUUAGCUAGUUGGUAAGGUAACGGCUUACCAAGGCAACGAUGCAUAGCCGACCUGAGAGGGUGAUCGGCCACACUGGAACUGAGACACGGUCCAGACUCCUACGGGAGGCAGCAGUAGGGAACCUUCCGCAAUGGGCGAAAGCCUGACGGAGCAACGCCGCGUGAGUGAUGAAGGUCUUCGGAUCGUAAAACUCUGUUAUUAGGGAAGAACAUAUGUGUAAGUAACUGUGCACAUCUUGACGGUACCUAAUCAGAAAGCCACGGCUAACUACGUG
rnacentral:rRNA from 1 species